GACGAACGCUGGCGGCGCGCCUAACACAUGCAAGUCGAACGGAGCUGCGAGAAGCUUGCUUUUCUUAGCUUAGUGGCGAACGGGUGAGUAACGCGUGAGUAACCUGCCCUGGAGUGGGGGACAACAGCUGGAAACGACUGCUAAUACCGCAUAAGCCCACGAUCCGGCAUCGGAUUGAGGGAAAAGGAUUUAUUCGCUUCAGGAUGGACUCGCGUCCAAUUAGCUAGUUGGUGAGGUAACGGCCCACCAAGGCGACGAUUGGUAGCCGGACUGAGAGGUUGAGCGGCCACAUUGGGACUGAGACACAGCCCAGACUCCUACGGGAGGCAGCAGUGGGGGAUAUUGCACAAUGGGGGAAACCCUGAUGCAGCGACGCCGCGUGGAGGAAGAAGGUUUUCGGAUUGUAAACUCCUGUCGUUAGGGACGAUAAUGACGGUACCUAACAAGAAAGCACCGGCUAACUACGUG
rnacentral:rRNA from 1 species